rnacentral:rRNA from 1 species
UUUUAUGGAGAGUUUGAUCCUGGCUCAGGAUGAACGCUGGCGGCGUGCCUAAUACAUGCAAGUCGAGCGAACGGACGAGAAGCUUGCUUCUCUGAUGUUAGCGGCGGACGGGUGAGUAACACGUGGAUAACCUACCUAUAAGACUGGGAUAACUUCGGGAAACCGGAGCUAAUACCGGAUAAUAUUUUGAACCGCAUGGUUCAAAAGUAAAAGACGGUCUUGCUGUCACUUAUAGAUGGAUCCGCGCUGCAUUAGCUAGUUGGUAAGGUAACGGCUUACCAAGGCAACGAUGCAUAGCCGACCUGAGAGGGUGAUCGGCCACACUGGAACUGAGACACGGUCCAGACUCCUACGGGAGGCAGCAGUAGGGAAUCUUCCGCAAUGGGCGAAAGCCUGACGGAGCAACGCCGCGUGAGUGAUGAAGGUCUUCGGAUCGUAAAACUCUGUUAUUAGGGAAGAACAUAUGUGUAAGUAACUGUGCACAUCUUGACGGUACCUAAUCAGAAAGCCACGGCUAACUACGUGCCAGCAGCCGCGGUAAUACGUAGGUGGCAAGCGUUAUCCGGAAUUAUUGGGCGUAAAGCGCGCGUA